rnacentral:rRNA from 1 species
CCUGCAGCUUGCUGCGGGUACUCGAGUGGCGAACGGGUGAGUAACACGUGGGUGAUCUGCCUUGCACUUCGGGAUAAGCUUGGGAAACUGGGUCUAAUACCGGAUAGGACAGCUGUUUAGUGUCAGUUGUGGAAAGUUUUUUCGGUGCAAGAUGAGCUCGCGGCCUAUCAGCUUGUUGGUGGGGUAAUGGCCUACCAAGGCGUCGACGGGUAGCCGGCCUGAGAGGGUGUACGGCCACAUUGGGACUGAGAUACGGCCCAGACUCCUACGGGAGGCAGCAGUGGGGAAUAUUGCACAAUGGGCGGAAGCCUGAUGCAGCGACGCCGCGUGGGGGAUGAAGGCCUUCGGGUUGUAAACUCCUUUCGACAGGGACGAAGCGUAAGUGACGGUACCUGUAUAAGAAGCACCGGCUAACUACGUGCCAGCAGCCGCGGUAAUACGUAGGGUGCGAGCGUUGUCCGGAAUUACUGGGCGUAAAGAGCUCGUAGGUGGUUUGUCGCGUCGUCUGUGAAAUUCCGGGGCUUAACUCCGGGCGUGCAGGCGAUACGGGCUGACUUGAGUGCUGUAGGGGAGACUGGAAUUCCUGGUGUAGCGGUGAAAUGCGCAGAUAUCAGGAGGAACACCGAUGGCGAAGGCAGGUCUCUGGGCAGUAACUGACGCUGAGGAGCGAAAGCAUGGGUAGCGAACAGGAUUAGAUACCCUGGUAGUCCAUGCCGUAAACGGUGGGCGCUAGGUGUAGGGGGCUUCCACGUCUUCUGUGCCGUAGCUAACGCAUUAAGCGCCCCGCCUGGGGAGUA